ACCCGCUGAACUUAAGCAUAUCAAUAAGCGGAGGAAAAGAAACCAACAGGGAUUGCCCUAGUAACGGCGAGUGAAGCGGCAACAGCUCAAAUUUGAAAAUCUGGCGUCUUUGGCGUCCGAGUUGUAAUUUGCAGAGGGCGCUUUGGCAUUGGCAGCGGUCCAAGUUCCUUGGAACAGGACGUCACAGAGGGUGAGAAUCCCGUACGUGGUCGCUAGCCUUUACCGUGUAAAGCCCCUUCGACGAGUCGAGUUGUUUGGGAAUGCGGCUCUAAAUGGGAGGUAAAUUUCUUCUAAAGCUAAAUACUGGCCAGAGACCGAUAGCGCACAAGUAGAGUGAUCGAAAGAUGAAAAGCACUUUGGAAAGAGAGUUAAAAAGCACGUGAAAUUGUUGAAAGGGAAGCGCUUGCAGCCAGACUUGCCUGUAGUUGCUCAUCCGGGUUUUUACCCGGUGCACUCUUCUAUAGGCAGGCCAGCAUCAGUUUGGGCGGUUGGAUAAAGGUCUCUGUCAUGUACCUCUCUUCGGGGAGAACUUAUAGGGGAGACGACAUGCAACCAGCCCGGACUGAGGUCCGCGCAUCUGCUAGGAUGCUGGCGUAAUGGCUGU
rnacentral:rRNA from 1 species